rnacentral:lncRNA from 1 species
UGGAGUUGAGUCAAAAUUCCAAUCUCCAGGGGUACCAAUAUUGUUACUCGAACCCUGGUGAGAGACCCUUUAAACAUGCAGAGUUACUACCACUUUGAUGGGUGAGAACUGGUGACUUAGGGGCGGAUUGGUGACAACUUUUAAGGCUUUAAAACCAUUUUAAAGCCUUAACAGCAUUUUUUUUGCCAAUCAACUUUUUUUUUUACUUUUUUUUUUAAAAGCCUUUAAAGCGACUUUAAUUUUUUCGUUCUUUAUUUUUUCUUCAUUCUUAGAGCCUCAAUAUCACGGCUUUGAAACCAAAAAAUUCUAAAAGCUAUUUUUUUC